ensembl:lncRNA
GACGCUGACAGAAGAAGCCACACGUCUGCCUGUGUCAUUCAUUUCUAUUUUUAUCAGUGACGUCGUGGUUUCGAUGGUCUCCUCUCGGCCUGACGUCACGCCGCGCUGCCUGUGAACGCUGGUUUCAGUGCAGCCAUGGAGCUGAGGCUGAAGGCUAAACGCAUCCCACUCAAGGUUCCAUUCAUUAUUAUGUUUGCAAAUGUUUUACUAUAUAAUUAAAAAAAAAUGGAAUAUCACUGCCAGAGGCAAUAUUUACGUUGGAUUUACUCUCCAAAGAAAGUGUCAUCUAACUGCAUGCAUUUUAGUUUCCAUAAAAAGGUAACACUUUUUCAGGUACAUCAUUAUUCAAAUUUAGAAUGUUACAAUCACGUUUUACUGUGAAUUACCUCAUUACCUAAUUAACGUGGUAUGUCUUAAUAGUACGAAAAUCAAGUUGUAAAAUGUUGUGGUUUUGUGGGAGUUUAUGAAGACUUCCUGGAGUCACAGCUGGAUUUGUGGAAUUUAGGAUUGGAGUGGAUUAUUUUAACUCAUAAUGUUUUGGUUUUUUUUUCAUUUCAGACAUUGGUCAAAUCACAACAUACAAUCAUAACGUUAAUUCUACUAGUUGGGUUUUACAGUUUCAUUGAUAAUAAUUGAGAUUAAUUUAAAUAGAUUUUUUUUAAUGCCAUUUCAAUCUUAUUACACCAGCUGUCUGAAUUCAGAGCCAUUGACAAAGCAGACAACAGUCCUUUUAACAUAGUUGCAUUGGAUUGGAUGACUUGGAGCUCCAGGAAUGAGUUUAUACUAUCACAUAGAGUCAAUCAUUUGACAUAUGACCAGCCUGUUAGUGAAUGUAGAAGUAAUUUGGUGGAUGUUCAAUUGGGACCUAAUCUUUUGGAUGUACAGAGCGUAAUACUCAAUCUUCUUGCUAUUUCAGGAUGCUGGUGAAGACGCUGUUUCACGGGACCUUAUAAUACAAAACAUGAAAAUCUACAGGAACAAGACGAACACGUCGGAGAGUCCAGACGUCUGUAUCGUGUUGGAUGGACCAAAAGUUCUGACUGCACUGAGGGACUUUGCAAGGGCUUGCUGUCUGCUGGUUGGGUUUGCGUAUGCAGUCAAUCUUGCACACUCAAAGAAACUUAAACACAUUUAAGGUUGUCCAAGUUUUCUUGGGCCGUUUCUCAAUACCUAAGACGGCGAGAACGGACUCGCGUUCCCGCGAGAAUAGACUCGGGAGUCCUGACUCACGGGUACGGGAGAAUGGACAUUUCCGCAAUUGGAACAGCAGCUGACUUGAUGACGUCACCACAGUAGGCGGUCUUUGUUUACGCACGCAAGUAUCUCAUCUGCCAUCGCAGCUUGCUGAGGUGAAAUGCAUUCUGGGACAUAUGUCUCUCACAAGAACAGACGAGCCUGCUUCGAUGCAUGCCCGGUAAAAUGGGCGGGGCAAGUCACAUCGGGGUAUUAUGACUCUCGGCCAGAUGCAGACUUGAGAAUUGGAACAGUACUCGGGCUGUGACUGAUGACGUUUCACGAGUCCACGAGAACAGAAGUCCACACAAGAACGCAUAUUGAGAAACGGCCUUGGAGCUGGACUGUUCAAACCUUUGACCCUUGGAGAAAAAAAGGGAAUUGUUGUUACUGUUUGUUCAAUGCAUGUUAAUUAUAUUUAAGAUUCACAUUGAGAAGUUUAGGUUUGGCUCUUUCAGUUUUUUUCAGUUUUAGUGUUGCUAUCUAGUGUUAAUGCUGCUUUAUUUGUGUUGUUCAAAUGUAAAUAAACCAUGCUCAUUUAAUGCAGCUUUUCCUGUAUGUAUUUAUAGAAAUUUGCACAAAUAAAGCUUAACCUGCUG